rnacentral:lncRNA from 1 species
CAGGAAGCGAGAUGCGACGUCCAGGUCUUCCUUGUUCAGCACCAGAUUGUCCACGAACAUCCAGAAGAAGGGCCUGGGGCUGCCUGGCUUGGGCCGUGCGUACUGCAGGAGCCGGUGGAACUGGAACAGCAGCAAUGAAGCCCUGCCCAGUGCUGGGGCCACAGAGGUGCAUGGACCCCUCCUCCCCCAGGCAGGCCUAGAGUGGGGAAGAGACAGACAGGCAACCCCGAGGGAGGAGCUGACGCAGAGCGCGUGCCGCGGCACAAAUACCGCCUUUUAGAGGAAGCUCCAGAGGACACGUGAGCUGCAGUGAUGUGGGCACGCUGGGGGCUGCAUGGGGUCAGCGGGAGGCUUGGGGGCACAGGGAAGCCUGCAGUGAUGGGGACUCUUACUCUGUUGCUCUCUUACUCUGAUGAGGGGUGCAUGGGUGUGGAGCUAGCUCAGAACUCAUCCAGUCGGACACACUGAAUGCGUGCAACUUACUGUAUGUCAGUGGUGCCUCGAUAAAGCUGUUUUUGAAAAAU